AGGGAAUCUUCCGCAAUGGACGCAAGUCUGACGGAGCAACGCCGCGUGAGUGAUGAAGGUUUUCGGAUCGUAAAGCUCUGUUGCCAGGGAAGAACGUCUUCUGGAGUAACUGCCAAGAGAGUGACGGUACCUGAGAAGAAAGCCCCGGCUAACUACGUGCCAGCAGCCGCGGUAAUACGUAGGGGGCAAGCGUUGUCCGGAAUUAUUGGGCGUAAAGCGCGCGCAGGCGGCUGUUUAAGUCUGGUGGUUAAUCCUGGGGCUCAACCCCGGGUCGCACUGGAAACUGGACAGCUUGAGUGCAGAAGAGGAGAGUGGAAUUCCACGUGUAGCGGUGAAAUGCGUAGAGAUGUGGAGGAACACCAGUGGCGAAGGCGACUCUCUGGGCUGUAACUGACGCUGAGGCGCGAAAGCGUGGGGAGCAAAC
rnacentral:rRNA from 1 species